CAUGCUCCUAGAGGGGCUGCAGUGUGGCUGCUGUGUCUCACAUGUGUGUCAGGAGCGGCAGAGAGGAGAAAAGCCAUGUCUCUGCUCAGUGUUCAGACCUAGGAAUAGCUGAGUGAUUAGUAGCCUAACAAU